AGGCUCCAUCCACCCACGUGGAUGUCAUGACGUCACUUUUUGCGACAAUUUUAAGCCUCUGCACAUGUGCAGAAGACUUUGUGCAUGCGUGGACAACGGCACUUGCAAGCGAAGUGAGCGCACGUGCGGCGUGCACACAUUUGCAAACUGGUAGGGAAGGUGAGACACUGCAAGUCUUCUUCACCAUAUGAAUUUCCUGAGACACAGAAGGGGCACUUUUUUUCCAGAACUGCUCAUUAAUAAAGGUCAUCGUCUGGAAUACCCUUGGGACUCCUGGACUGUGCCUUUUAUACCUGGGAGGCGGAGCUAAGAUCAUUUCCCAUCAAUUCAAAGACAUCCUGAUGAAAUGCAUUGAAAAUGCAUUGAAGUCACCCAUUUCUCUCAGUGGUCUUUCAACUCACCCACCUCAAUGGACUGCUGUUCUGGGAAAAACUGGAGGACUGGAUUUUAUGUGCAUCGUCUCAAAUUCCAGAGAACA